GGAAUGCCUUGCCUGCUUCCUCUUCCGCGACGGCUCUGCUCCGCUACUGUCCUGCCGAUCCCCUGCGCCCCCCAAUCUUUUACAUCUAGCCCAGCAGCGGCGCUGGUAGCGAUGGAGAGCCUCGAUGUCUCCCUUGAUCGACUCUACUUCACGAGCAAGCCAGCAGCGGCCGCCGGGUCUGCUUGAGGAGCAUUGGCACGUGGUAUCAUCUUCGUCAACUGCAAGGAAUCAGUUAUCAUUUAGCAGGUACAUACACCUUGAGGUAUGGAAGGAGCCAGGAGUACUCGGACGGUCAACGAUGUACAUACCUUGCGCGCGGGUGCUGCUGGUUUCAUUGUGUCUUGCAACUCGUCCAAGAUGUCGUAGGCGGCCUUGACGACCCGCCACAGCCAGUCCCGGACCUUCUUCCCCUGCAGGUCAAGUUCGCGUAUCCAGUGACCUAUGGAUCUCGUAGCCUAACAAUGACAGGAUCUGAGCUUUUCUUCAAAAUGUAUAAGGAUGGUGAAGUAACAUACCUCCAUUUGCUGGGGGGCAUCCUCCAGCAGCGGCUGUAUGGCUUCCGACGAAUCUAUCAUUUCCUUGAAUCCCUCUCUGGGGACAUCACCCGUAAAACGAAGACACCGCAUCUCGGCGUCCUCCAGCAGCGGGUGUAUGGCCUCCAGCGUUUCCAUUAUUUCCUGCAAAUCGCCCGUGGCCUCAGCUCCCAUGGCGAUGGCGAUGGCGGAUCUGAGCUUUCUACAUGAGCUUUGGACAAUGGCUUGAGCCAUGGCUGCUUCCUGCUCCUCCACCCAAAAGCAAGAGGCUUCGAUGGAGCCAACGACUGAACAGGGAUGAUGCAGCGCAGGGGUAGAGGAUCGUUUGUCCACCUCGCGGGUCACAGAGCAAAGCUAGGAGCAAAGGAACCGGCCGGCUGGAGCUGUACAUCAAGUGUGCUAAUUCUGUAAGCAACAAUUACUACCGCACUGUAAAACAAGGCAAUUGAUUGUCUGGAAAAGAAGACCA